rnacentral:lncRNA from 1 species
GAUAUGUUGUUGAUUGGUGGUGCCCCCUACACUCUCCAAGUGGGUUUAUUGGCACUGCCAUGUAUUUGAAAAUUUGGAGAUGAGUAAGGUUUUCCAAAGUUGUGAAUAGGCCAAUGACUUUCUAGUUAGGAGGUUGUUUAAUCUCCCUCCCUACUCAUUGCUACUUCAACCAAUGUUUGAUGGAUGCUAGAGCUUAGCAAUUUUCAAAGAGGAAAAAUGUUAAAGUCAAAC